rnacentral:rRNA from 1 species
UACGUAGGGACCAAGCGUUGUUCGGAUUUACUGGGCGUAAAGGGCGCGUAGGCGGCGAAUCAAGUCAGUUGUGAAAUCUCCGAGCUUAACUCGGAACGGUCAACUGAUACUGUUUUGCUAGAGUGCAGAAAGGGCAACCGGAAUUCUUGGUGUAGCGGUGAAAUGCGUAGAUAUCGUAAAGAAGACCAGAGGCGAAAGCGAGCUUCUAGGCAGUUACUGACGCUCAUGCACGAAAGCCAAGGUAGCAAACGGG